GGAAAUUUUAUCAUUCAAGGAUGUGACACUGGAGGAAGUUCCAGGCUCUUCAAUUAUAAAGUCAAUGAUGGCACUUAUUCGGAAACCUGGAUUUUCUUCCCUUCCACAACAUUGUUUGAGGGCUGGUUCUGCCCUUUUGNNNNNNCAUCCAGGCUAGGCCUUCAAGGUUUCCUUUGCCUUCUGAAGAACUAUUCAGCAUCCUUGAUGACGCCAGUGAAAAGACAUUCCUGUGUGGAAGUGGAACAGCUGUAUCAAUGCAAAAAUAU
rnacentral:misc_RNA from 1 species